ACCUUGGAGGAGAUUUGAAUCUCCACCCACCCACUGGCUCUCCCUUCCGUUCUGACUGGCCGAUCAGCACACAGGAGCUGAGUGAGAAAAUAAACAAACACAUGUUUUGGAAAAGCAAAGGAAGAAGGAAAUGAAACAGCCUGGCGUGAAGCCUGUUCCCUUUCAUCAUCUCCAGUCUCUCACAGGAUCUGCCAUUUUGGUUUCCAGCGGGGCACGAGGCACAUGAGAAAGGCCACUGAUUCAGAUCAGAAAAAGAAAGACCACCUCGGAGACGCAUGGGGAAGAACAUCAGAACUACCGCAAUCCAUUCCAUCUGAGACCCAAGGAAGAAAAUGUUCCCGGGGCUCGAUUCCUGGUGGAAUCAAGGAAGACUUGAAGAAAGAGAUUUUUGGCUCAUGCCGAUCCUGUGCUCUGAGCUCCUCGAGUGGACGAUCCCGGUGGAGGUGGGGGGGACGAGUGAGCGCUGGCUGGUUGGUAGAACAAGGCAUCUUCUGAAGUGUUCGGGAUCUGGGAAGGAUGACUCCUGCUGUUUACUGACUGUCCCUUUGCAACCGUCCAGUUCUCUUCUCUGUGCCAGGAGACAUGUGGUCCAGCACUCUGUGGAGAGGGGCCUCCGCUCUGGCUUCACCUUUCCGGUGAGCAGCCUGAUUGCUCUGACUCCCAUCUGCGUCCCCCUGAGCUCCCCUGUCAGAUCAGUCUUCCUCACACUCUGGACACCAUCUACACCUCUGUAUAAAGGAGGAAGAAUGCCCAAAGCUAACUACUACAAAAAUUGUAACUUCAUUUAUCGAUUUCGAACUCCCACCUGAUUGACGCCAUCCAUAGAGCCUG